CUUCCCAGAGUGUGCUAGUUUUCCACACCCAGAAGAAAUCCCAGAACCCUGACCUGGUCCUGUGUCUGGCAAAUUCUGCUGCUCCAGGUGCUUGCAGAAUUUCAAAGGCUUAUUUCUCAGCUCAGGAGACUGAAGCCCUUUGGUUUCAGAGGGACUUGGGAUGUUUCAGUGUUCUGAGGUCCCAAGGAACCAGCUGCAGGAGGCCGUCAGCUGCCAAGAGAAGCCUCCAGUCCUGCUUUCCUCACUUCUAGAGAUAAUCUUGGAGAGAGAGAAAGAUCCUGUCUCAAGGACCAGCCCAACGCUCAAGGUAGGACCAGAAGAUGCACCAUCAGAAGAUACAGCACGGACAGCUGAUGACACAGCUGCAGCUCAUGAAUUUUUACCAUGGAAGUUGCGACUAUUCAUGGAGAAGUAGGCACCUGUGAAGAAGCAUUUCUCCCCAUGCCCGGAUCUUCACUGAAACAUGGACUGAAAGAUUUUAAGGGAAACAUCUACCAAUUGCAACAUAUGGACCUUAUAUGGAUCCCGAUUCAAACAAACAAAGAAAAAAUUAUGAGAUAAUUGGAAAAUUUGAACUCUGGUUGAAAAUUAACAAUAAUUUCUUAACAUAAAAUAUUCAAAGUAAAGAAGCCCACUUUCGCUGCAGUCUGAUUUCGAUGACUGAAACGGCAGCCAGGCCACGCCUCGCUGGGAGCUCCUCUGAGCGCCUCCUCCUCGCCACGCAGGAGCUGUUCCACGUGCAAGAGCCUUUCCCUCCGCUCCUGUCAUUCCUCUCAAGGCUUCUUGGCAGAAUUCCUACUGCUCUUAUUUAAUAUCAUCUCUCUUUACUAUUUCUGAACUCCAUUUCAUGCUUUUUCUAGUUAUUCCCAAUAAAGAAGAAACUGGAAAUUCACAUAUGCUGAGACUGAAAAUCUUGUUGCUGAAAGGGCAUACAGAAAUAGCCCGAGGAGUAGAGCUCUUCCCAAGAAAAGCUACUGGGGAAGGAUUUCUGCCUCGUUUUUCUUUAAAAUAAGGUCAUUUAACAUAAGUCUGAGGAAAGCAUAGUGAGCCACAUUUCAUUUUACUGUUAAUUGCACUUGAGCUGAGAAACAGAAGUAAUAAAA
rnacentral:lncRNA from 1 species